rnacentral:lncRNA from 1 species
UGCAGAGUGAGGAGGAGCUAGAUCGUAGGGUCUUCCUAAAUUAAUGUAAGCAUUUUGGAUUUUAUUCUAAAAUCCACAGCUACAUUAAUGCAGCUGCUCUUCAAGAGAAUGGACAUGAAGAGGACAAGAGCAGAUAUGAAUGGGCCCACUGCGAACUAAGGUGGAAAGAAAACUUUAACUGCACCUGGAAAGGCUGGAGCAUGCAAUAUUUUUUUAAAUACCUGAUUAACACCUGCUUAAAUAUUUUCUUCCAAUCUUUAAUUAAACAGUUAAGAAUCAAAGCUGUAAAACUACGAAUGGUUCUUCAAAUGGAGCCCCAGAUGCAGUCCACAACUAAAAUCUACUGUGGUCCCUUGGACCGGCCUGCUAGCCCAUGCUCCGAUGUUGAUGACAUCGAAGUCACCCCUCCUGAGGAAAUCUCAACUGCACAACCCCUGCUACACCCCAAUUCAGCAGGAAGCAGUUAGAGCAGUCAUUAGCCAACCUCUCCAACAGCACUUGGGUUUUCCUGUUGAGGAGGGGACUGAGAGACAGGACUAGCUGGAU